rnacentral:rRNA from 1 species
GUAAGGUGAUAUGAACCGUUAUAACCGGCGAUUUCCGAAUGGGGAAACCCAGUGUGAUUCGUCACACUAUCAUUAACUGAAUCCAUAGGUUAAUGAGGCGAACCGGGGGAACUGAAACAUCUAAGUACCCCGAGGAAAAGAAAUCAACCGAGAUUCCCCCAGUAGCGGCGAGCGAACGGGGAGGAGCCCAGAGCCUGAAUCAGUGUGUGUGUUAGUGGAAGCGUCUGGAAAGGCGCGCGAUACAGGGUGACAGCCCCGUACACAAAAAUGCACAUGCUGUGAGCUCGAUGAGUAGGGCGGGACACGUGGUAUCCUGUCUGAAUAUGGGGGGACCAUCCUCCAAGGCUAAAUACUCCUGACUGACCGAUAGUGAACCAGUACCGUGAGGGAAAGGCGAAAAGAACCCCGGCGAGGGGAGUGAAAAAGAACCUGAAACCGUGUACGUACAAGCAGUGGGAGCACGCUUAGGCGUGUGACUGCGUACCUUUUGUAUAAUGGGUCAGCGACUUAUAUUCUGUAGCAAGGUUAACCGAAUAGGGGAGCCGAAGGGAAACCGAGUCUUAACUGGGCGUUAAGUUGCAGGGUAUAGACCCGAAACCCGGUGAUCUAGCCAUGGGCAGGUUGAAGGUUGGGUAACACUAACUGGAGGACCGAACCGACUAAUGUUGAAAAAUUAGCGGAUGACUUGUGGCUGGGGGUGAAAGGCCAAUCAAACCGGGAGAUAGCUGGUUCUCCCCGAAAGCUAUUUAGGUAGCGCCUCGUGAAUUCAUCUCCGGGGGUAGAGCACUGUUUCGGCAAGGGGGUCAUCCCGACUUACCAACCCGAUGCAAACUGCGAAUACCGGAGAAUGUUAUCACGGGAGACACACGGCGGGUGCUAACGUCCGUCGUGAAGAGGGAAACAACCCAGACCGCCAGCUAAGGUCCCAAAGUCAUGGUUAAGUGGGAAACGAUGUGGGAAGGCCCAGACAGCCAGGAUGUUGGCUUAGAAGCAGCCAUCAUUUAAAGAAAGCGUAAUAGCUCACUGGUCGAGUCGGCCUGCGCGGAAGAUGUAACGGGGCUAAACCAUGCACCGAAGCUGCGGCAGCGACGCUUAUGCGUUGUUGGGUAGGGGAGCGUUCUGUAAGCCUGCGAAGGUGUGCUGUGAGGCAUGCUGGAGGUAUCAGAAGUGCGAAUGCUGACAUAAGUAACGAUAAAGCGGGUGAAAAGCCCGCUCGCCGGAAGACCAAGGGUUCCUGUCCAACGUUAAUCGGGGCAGGGUGAGUCGACCCCUAAGGCGAGGCCGAAAGGCGUAGUCGAUGGGAAACAGGUUAAUAUUCCUGUACUUGGUGUUACUGCGAAGGGGGGACGGAGAAGGCUAUGUUGGCCGGGCGACGGUUGUCCCGGUUUAAGCGUGUAGGCUGGUUUUCCAGGCAAAUCCGGAAAAUCAAGGCUGAGGCGUGAUGACGAGGCACUACGGUGCUGAAGCAACAAAUGCCCUGCUUCCAGGAAAAGCCUCUAAGCAUCAGGUAACAUCAAAUCGUACCCCAAACCGACACAGGUGGUCAGGUAGAGAAUACCAAGGCGCUUGAGAGAACUCGGGUGAAGGAACUAGGCAAAAUGGUGCCGUAACUUCGGGAGAAGGCACGCUGAUAUGUAGGUGAAGUCCCUCGCGGAUGGAGCUGAAAUCAGUCGAAGAUACCAGCUGGCUGCAACUGUUUAUUAAAAACACAGCACUGUGCAAACACGAAAGUGGACGUAUACGGUGUGACGCCUGCCCGGUGC